rnacentral:rRNA from 1 species
GAUGAGCGCUGGCGGCGUGCUUAACACAUGCAAGUCGAACGAUGAACCUGGAGCUUGCUCUGGGGGAUUAGUGGCGAACGGGUGAGUAACACGUGAGCAACCUGCCCCUGACUCUGGGAUAAGCGCUGGAAACGGCGUCUAAUACUGGAUAUGUGACGUGACCGCAUGGUCUGCGUUUGGAAAGAUUUUUCGGUUGGGGAUGGGCUCGCGGCCUAUCAGCUUGUUGGUGAGGUAAUGGCUCACCAAGGCGUCGACGGGUAGCCGGCCUGAGAGGGGGACCGGCCACACUGGGACUGAGACACGGCCCAGACUCCUACGGGAGGCAGCAGUGGGGAAUAUUGCACAAUGGGCGGAAGCCUGAUGCAGCAACGCCGCGUGAGGGAUGACGGCCUUCGGGUUGUAAACCUCUUUUAGCAGGGAAGAAGCGAGAGUGACGGUACCUGCAGAAAAAGCGCCGGCUAACUACGUGCCAGCAGCCGCGGUAAUAC